UACGUAGGCAGCGAGCGUUGUUCGGAAUUACUGGGCGUAAAGAGUGUGUAGGCGGUGCUCUAAGUUCGGUGUGAAAUCUCCUGGCUCAACUGGGAGGGUGCGCCGGAAACUGGAGUGCUUGAGCGUGGGAGAGGAAAGCGGAAUUCCUGGUGUAGCGGUGAAAUGCGUAGAUAUCAGGAGGAACACCUGUGGUGUGGACGGCUUUCUGGACCAUAGCUGACGCUGAGACACGAAAGCGUGGGUAGCAAACAGG
rnacentral:rRNA from 1 species